rnacentral:rRNA from 1 species
ACUCCUACGGGAGGCAGCAGUAGGGAACCUUCCACAAUGGACGAAAGUCUGAUGGAGCAACGCCGCGUGAGUGAAGAAGGGUUUCGGCUCGUAAAACUCUGUUGUUAAAGAAGAACAUAUCUGAGAGUAACUGUUCAGGUAUUGACGGUAUUUAACCAGAAAGCCACGGCUAACUACGUGCCAGCAGCCGCGGUAAUACGUAGGUGGCAAGCGUUGUCCGGAUUUAUUGGGCGUAAAGCGAGCGCAGGCGGUUUUUAAGUCUGAUGUGAAAGCCUUCGGCUCAACCGAAGAAGUGCAUCGGAAACUGGGAAACUUGAGUGCAGAAGAGGACAGUGGAACUCCAUGUGUAGCGGUGAAAUGCGUAGAUAUAUGGAAGAACACCAGUGGCGAAGGCGGCUGUCUGGUCUGUAACUGACGCUGAGGCUCGAAAGUAUGGGUAGCAAACAGGAUUAGAUACCCUGGUAGGAUAGCG